GUGGGGAAUUUUGGACAAUGGGCGAAAGCCUGAUCCAGCCAUGCCGCGUGCAGGAUGAAGGCCUUCGGGUUGUAAACUGCUUUUGUACCGAACGAAACGGUCCGGGUUAAUACCCUGGGCUAAUGACGGUACCGUAAGAAUAAGCACCGGCUAACUACGUGCCAGCAGCCGCGGUAAUACGUAGGGUGCAAGCGUUAAUCGGAAUUACUGGGCGUAAAGCGUGCGCAGGCGGUUUUGUAAGACAGGCGUGAAAUCCCCGGGCUCAACCUGGGAAUUGCGCUUGUGACUGCAAGGCUGGAGUGCGGCAGAGGGGGAUGGAAUUCCGCGUGUAGCAGUGAAAUGCGUAGAUAUGCGGAGGAACACCGAUGGCGAAGGCAAUCCCCUGGGCCUGCACUGACGCUCAUGCACGAAAGCGUGGGGAGCAAACAGGAUUAGAUACCCCAGUAGUCC
rnacentral:rRNA from 1 species